AUUGAACGCUGGCGGCAGGCCUAACACAUGCAAGUCAAGCGGAUGAAGGGAGCUUGCUCCUGGAUUCAGCGGCGGACGGGUGAGUAAUGCCUGGGAAUCUGCCUGGUAGUGGGGGAUAACGUCCGGAAACGGGCGCUAAUACCGCAUACGUCCUGAGGGAGAAAGUGGGGGAUCUUCGGACCUCACGCUAUCAGAUGAGCCUAGGUCGGAUUAGCUAGUUGGUGGGGUAAAGGCCUACCAAGGCGACGAUCCGUAACUGGUCUGAGAGGAUGAUCAGUCACACUGGAACUGAGACACGGUCCAGACUCCUACGGGAGGCAGCAGUGGGGAAUAUUGGACAAUGGGCGAAAGCCUGAUCCAGCCAUGCCGCGUGUGUGAAGAAGGUCUUCGGAUUGUAAAGCACUUUAAGUUGGGAGGAAGGGCAGUAAGUUAAUACCUUGCUGUUUUGACGUUACCAACAGAAUAAGCACCGGCUAACUUCGUG
rnacentral:rRNA from 1 species